UCCAGACUCCUACGGGAGGCAGCAGUGGGGGAUAUUGCACAAUGGGGGAAACCCUGAUGCAGCGACGCCGCGUGGGUGAAGAAGUAUUUCGGUAUGUAAAGCCCUAUCAGCAGGGAAGAAAGAAGACGGUACCUGACUAAGAAGCCCCGGCUAACUACGUGCCAGCAGCCGCGGUAAUACGUAGGGGGCGAGCGUUAUCCGGAUUCACUGGGUGUAAAGGGAGCGUAGACGGCCGUGCAAGCCAGGAGUGAAAGCCCGGGGCCCAACCCCGGGACUGCUCUUGGAACUGUGCGGCUGGAGUGCGGGAGGGGCAGGCGGAAUUCCUGGUGUAGCGGUGAAAUGCGUAGAUAUCAGGAGGAACACCGGCGGCGAAGGCGGCCUGCUGGACCGCGACUGACGUUGAGGCUCGAAAGCGUGGGGAGCGAACAGGAUUAGAUACCCGAGUA
rnacentral:rRNA from 1 species